UUUUUAAUUUUUUUUUGCGCGUCGUGACAAACAAAACGCACGUGCGUGACAUAUAUUAACCCCGUUUUCUUAUUUUCCAUGUUUGCGGUACGUUUUCGCUCGCUGCUCAUUAUUCACGCGUCUAGCGGCGGCAUUGUGGCGCGUUCUUAAAGGGGUCGAGACCGUGGUAAAUACGUGGUGGUGCGGUUGAGAUGGAGGGGUGGAAACCGUGGUAAACUCGUCUCCGCAGUUGAGCGGGAGUGGCCAAAAGAAUGUGCAAUCGUCUUUGUAGUGGAGCUGGGAGGGGCAAGCAUAAGGGACGAAGGCAGGGGUAACAUGUC
rnacentral:misc_RNA from 1 species